UCGUGUGCUCUCUCUUCUCCUUGGGUUGCUUAUUCUGGGGGAGGCCGUGUCUUGAGCAGAGAGGCCCAUGUGGCCAGGAGCUGAAGCCCACAGCCAUACUAGCAUGCCUGGGAGCAGAUCCCCAGCCCCUUCAGAGGCUGUGGCCCUGGCUGAGAGCUUGACUGCCACCCCCUCCGAGAGACCAUGAGCCAGAGGCACGCAGCUGAGUGCUGCAUGUGUGUACUGUGUGCAUGCUUGUGUGUGUGCACGUAUGUGCUGUGUGCAUGCUCGUGUGUGUGCAUGUGUGGGCUGUGUGCAUGCUCGUGUGUGUGCAUAUGUGUGCUGUGUGCAUGCUCGUGUGUGUGUGCCUGUGUGUGCUGUGUGCAUGCUCGUGUGUAUGUGCAUGUGUGUGCUGUGUGCCUGCUCGUGUGUGUGUGCAUGUGUGUGCUGUGUGCAUGCUCGUGCAUGUGUGCAUGCUUGCGUGUGUGAGUGCAUGCUUGUAUGUGCAUGUGUGUGCUGUGUGCAUGCUUGUGUGUGUGUGCAUGUGUGUGCUGUGUGCAUGCGCGUGCGUGUGUGCAUGUGUGUGUUGUGUGCAUGCUCAUGUAUGUGCAUGUGUGUGCUGUGUGCAUGCUUGUAUGUGCAUGUGUGUGCUGUGUGCAUGCUUGUGCGCAUGUGCAUGUGUGUGCUGUGUGCAUGCUCGUGUGUG
rnacentral:lncRNA from 1 species